rnacentral:rRNA from 1 species
GACGAACGCUGGCGGCGUGCUUAACACAUGCAAGUCGAACGGUGAAGCGCCUUCCUCUUUGGCGGGUGUGGAUGAGUGGCGAACGGGUGAGUAACACGUGAGUAACCUGCCUCCUUCUUCUGGAUAACCGCAUGAAAGUGUGGCUAAUACGGGAUAUUCUGGGUCUGUUGCAUGAUGGGUUUGGGAAAGAUAUUGUUUCGGUGGGGGAUGGGCUCGCGGCCUAUCAGCUUGUUGGUGGGGUGAUGGCCUAGCAAGGCGGUGGCGGGUGGCCGGCCUGAGAGGGUGGACGGUCACACGGGGACUGAGACACGGCCGAGACUCCUACGGGAGGCAGCAGUGGGGAAUAUUGCACAAUGGGCGCAAGCCUGAUGCAGCGACGCCGCGUGAGAGAUGGAGGCCUUCGGGUUGUGAACCUCUUUCGCCAGUGAAGCAGGCCUGCCUCGUUUGUGGGUGGGUUGACGGUAGCUGGAUAAGAAGCGCCGGCUAACUACGUG